rnacentral:lncRNA from 1 species
UCAGGAACUGAAACAGGAAGUUGGGGGACUCCAUGAGUUUGAAGAGGUACCAUAACACAUUCCCUACAGUAAUUAGGGCUUCCCUUAACAAAGCCAAGGCUGGCACCUGGGUAGAUGUUCUUUGUUGAUUACGAAGUCUUAAUGUGGACUAGCUUCAGAAGCUUCUCAGAGCCAAACCGUCAUCUCUUUGCCUUUCUGCUACGAAGACCACACUCCCAUCCAGGCCACCCACCAGGUUCCAUUUGGUGGAACCCCCACCAAGGACACCUUUAGCUGUUGAUUGCUUUAUAGAAUAACCGGGCUGGAUGACAGCCCUGAGCAGUUUGCCAGUGUGGUCUAGUUUUCUAGGUUUCCCUGGUGAGUCAACAGGAAUGUAUCUACUUGUCUCUGGGAAUUGCAGUUCUACAUCAUCACCUAAAGUCUUCCAGAUUUUCCUGAAGAGAGGCAAAUGUGCAACGAGACGAGAAAUCAGUGAUAGGAAGAAAACUGUAAAGGUGUAAAACACAACUGAAAGCUGACUGUUGAAUUAACAUCGUGGUGAACAAGGGAACAGGACAGAAAGGGCUCCAAAUCUCCAGGAGCUGGUGAUCAACCAGGAAAGGGAAACAUUGACCGGACGGGAAAGCCACGAUUCACAGGCAUGUAACUAGUGUAGAAUACCAUGAGAUGCAUCUGUGGGGAGUUGUGAUCUGACAGAAAAACAAUGUUUGACUAGGUUCAGCGUGGGUACCAGCAAGGCAGUGGGAGAAGGCAUUUGGCUACACCAAUAGAAGAAAGCCAGUCAACAUCAUGUUGUGAUCGUCCCUGGCUCUUUUCUUCCGAGCUGUUUAUGAAGCAGGGAUCUCACAGGAAGCUGGGCUGUAAAGUUCUGGGCAGAGGUCUUGGAUGUGAGUCAUGGAAAUGAACCUGAACUGAGAGUUGCUUUCCAAAGACUAUCUCACCACUGGGAUUCAGGCUGAACAAAGGAGUUAGAUUCAGUGAGUUCU